rfam:Pseudogymnoascus pannorum VKM F-4520 (FW-2644) contig_3642, whole genome shotgun sequence.
ACUAUAUAAAAAGAAAUGAAGAAAUAGUCUGAACCAUCUUGUGAAAGAUGGAAAUAAAGGAUAAAUAACCUUUAUGAUAACAAAUUUUGAACAGGCUAAUUGCGCCAGGAAGUACAAAUUGAGUGCGCAGUUUGGCACCUCGAUGUCGGCUUAACUUAUCCACAUGAAUGCAGGAAUCAUGAAGGGUUCGACUGUUCGUCGAUUAAUAAGUUACACGAGCUGGGUUAAAUACGUCGUGAGACAGUAUGGUUUCUAUCUUCUAGAGGAAAUUAGAAUAAAAUAAGGAUAGCCCCCUCGUACGAAAGGAGCUGGGUAUAUUAACCUAUGGUUUACCUGUUGUUUAUGUGCCCAAUAUUAAUAAAAGUAUAAUUAAUUUUAUGCAGGGGUGUUACUUUCACUUAAGUAAAUAUAUAGCAUAGGCACGGCAGGAACGCUACGUUAGUUAAAGAUAAGUGCUGAAUGCAUCUAGGCGCGAAACUUACUUUAAGAUAUUCUUAAAUAUAGGUAGUUUAACACUACGAUUUCCAUAUUUUAUUAAAUAUGUGAUUAAUAGGCUUUAGCUGAAAGAAUUUAAAUGUUUUUAGGCAUAAAGUACUAAUUUUAUAAAUAACUGAUUAUU